rnacentral:rRNA from 2 species
GAUGAACGCCGGCGGUGUGCCUAAUACAUGCAAGUCGUACGCACUGGCCCAACUGAUUGAUGGUGCUUGCACCUGAUUGACGAUGGAUCACCAGUGAGUGGCGGACGGGUGAGUAACACGUAGGUAACCUGCCCCGGAGCGGGGGAUAACAUUUGGAAACAGAUGCUAAUACCGCAUAACAACAAAAGCCACAUGGCUUUUGUUUGAAAGAUGGCUUUGGCUAUCACUCUGGGAUGGACCUGCGGUGCAUUAGCUAGUUGGUAAGGUAACGGCUUACCAAGGCGAUGAUGCAUAGCCGAGUUGAGAGACUGAUCGGCCACAAUGGAACUGAGACACGGUCCAUACUCCUACGGGAGGCAGCAGUAGGGAAUCUUCCACAAUGGGCGCAAGCCUGAUGGAGCAACACCGCGUGAGUGAAGAAGGGUUUCGGCUCGUAAAGCUCUGUUGUUGGAGAAGAACGUGCGUGAGAGUAACUGUUCACGCAGUGACGGUAUCCAACCAGAAAGUCACGGCUAACUACGUGCCAGCAGCCGCGGUAAUACGUAGGUGGCAAGCGUUAUCCGGAUUUAUUGGGCGUAAAGCGAGCGCAGGCGGUUGCUUAGGUCUGAUGUGAAAGCCUUCGGCUUAACCGAAGAAGUGCAUCGGAAACCGGGCGACUUGAGUGCAGAAGAGGACAGUGGAACUCCAUGUGUAGCGGUGGAAUGCGUAGAUAUAUGGAAGAACACCAGUGGCGAAGGCGGCUGUCUGGUCUGCAACUGACGCUGAGGCUCGAAAGCAUGGGUAGCGAACAGGAUUAGAUACCCUGGUAGUCC